GUUUAAUCUUUUAAUAAAAAUAUUUUGUUUUUUAGUAUUUUUAAGAAUUAAUAUUUUAUAAUUUUUUACUGUAAAGGAAUCUUAUUUUUUAUAUAGAAAGUAUUUUUUAUUUAAAGUACCUUUUGCAUCAGGGUUUAUUAAAAUUUAUAAAUUAUUUUUUUUUCUCGAAACUUAAAGAUUUAAAAUUUAAUGAUUUUUUUUGUUUCAAAAAGAUUUUUAAUUAUAUUUUAGAGGUUAUAUGCUUUUCAUUUUAAGUGAUAUCUAGUUUUUUAAUAUUUGAAUUUAAUUCAUUUUUAAAAAAGUUAAUUUGAUAAUUUAAUUUCUUUUAAUUUUUUAAAAAAAGUUUUUUGGGGAUAAGCUCAAUUUAUUUUUUAAAAAAAAAUCAAUCUUAGAUUUUAUGUAGGAUUGGAAAUUUUCUUCUUAUUUAUUUUGUUAUAAUUAUUUUUCUUUAUGUAUGAUUUUUAUUUUUUUAAUUAUUUAUUAAAAUUUGUUUUAUAAUUUUAAAAAUUUUUAAUAAUGAUAAAAUUAGUAAUUUUGUUAAUUUUUUUAUAGUAAUUCGGCAAUUUUUAUUUUCACCUGUUUAACAAAAACAUGGUCUUUUGUUUUCAUAUAAGAUCGGACCUGCCCACUGAUUUUGAAAAUUGAAGGGCUGCGGUAUUUUAACUGUACUAAGGUAGCAUAAUCACUUGUCUUUUAAUUGGAGGCUAGAAUGAAUGGUUUGAUGAAAUAUAAUCUUUCUUUAAAAAAAUAAAUUUAAUUUAACUUUUUAGUUAAAAGGCUAAAAUUUUUUUAUAAGACGAGAAGACCCUUUAGAAGUUUACUUAUUUUAUAAGAUUGUUUUUUUUGUUAUUAAAAUUCCUUUUUAAUAAAAUGAGUUUUGUUGGGGUGAUAUUAAAAUUUUAUUAACUUUUAAUUUUUUAUUCAUUUAUUUAUGUUUUUUUGAUCCAAAAUUUUUGAUUAUAAGAUUAACUUACCUAAGGGAUAACAGCGUAAUUUUUUCGGAGAGUUCAUAUCGAUGAAUAAGUUUGCGACCUCGAUGUUGAAUUAAGAUAAGAUUUGGGUGUAAAAUUUCAUUUUCUUGGUCUGUUCGACCAUUAAUAUCUUACAUGAUUUGAGUUCAGACCGGCGUGAGCCAGGUCGGUUUCUAUCUUUAUUUUAUAUAGAUUAGUACGAAAGGACCAUUUAUAUUAAUUAAAUUAUUAUUUUUUGAUUAAGAUUA
rnacentral:rRNA from 1 species